UGCACUCACUACUGUAAGUUGCUCUGGAUAAGAGAGUGUCUGCUAAAUGACAAAAU
rfam:Salmo salar isolate Sally breed double haploid chromosome ssa20, whole genome shotgun sequence.